GUGAACCUGCGGAAGGAUCAUUAUUGAAUAACUAUAGUGGGUUGUCGCUGGCUUGUUUCAAGCAUGUGCACGCUCGCUGUCUUUAUCUAUCCCACUGUGCACCAUUUGUAGUCUUGGGGGGGGGGAGAGCUUUGCUUGCCCUCUUUCAGGUCUAUGUCUUUCCACAGACGUAUUUAUGUGCAUGGAAUGUAAUGAAAGGGCCUUUGUGCCUAAUGAAACUCUAUACAACUUUCAGCAACGGAUCUCUUGGCUCUCGCAUCGAUGAAGAACGCAGCGAAAUGCGAUAAGUAAUGUGAAUUGCAGAAUUCAGUGAAUCAUCGAAUCUUUGAACGCACCUUGCGCUUCUUGGUAUUCCGAGGAGCAUGCCUGUUUGAGUGUCAUUAAAUUCUCAACCCCUUCCAGUUUGCAUAAGCUGGUCGUGGCUUGGAUAUUGGGGGUUUAUGCAGGCCUUGUUAUAUUAAGGUCAGCUCUCCUGAAAUGCAUUAGCAGAACGGUUUGCGGUCUGUCACUGGUGUGAUAACUAUCUACACCAAGGCUGCUAUGGGCCUUGUUCAGCUUCUAACUGCUCUCUCACUAGACAGCUAUUGAACAUUUGACCUCAAAUCAGGUAGGAU
rnacentral:rRNA from 1 species